CUACGGGGCGCUCCAGUGAGGAAUAUUGCACAAUGGGGGGAACCCUGAUGCAGCAACGCCGCGUGGAGGAUGACGCAUUUCGGUGUGUAAACUCCUUUUAUAUGUCAAGAAAAUGACGGUAGCAUAUGAAUAAGCACCGGCUAACUCCGUGCCAGCAGCCGCGGUAAUACGGAGGGUGCAAGCGUUACUCGGAAUCACUGGGCGUAAAGGACGCGUAGGCGGGUUGGAAAGUCAGGUGUGAAAUCCUACAGCUUAACUGUAGAACUGCACUUGAAACUUCUAAUCUAGAGUAUGGGAGGGGGAGAUGGAGUUAGUGGUGUAGGGGUAAAAUCCGUAGAUAUCACUAGGAAUACCUAAAGCGAAGGCGAUCUCCUGGAACAUUACUGAUGCUAAGGCGUGAAAGCGUGGGGAGCAAACAGGAUUAGAUACCCGCGUAGUC
rnacentral:rRNA from 1 species